UAAGUUCUUGGCACUGGAUCUUCAGAGCUUAGCAGGAUGAGGUUAGAAGUCCUGGAGCAGAUUUGCACAGAGAGGAAAAGAAGACAGGCGCAUUAAGGGCGAGUAUCAGCAGGAGGCGUGACUUUCAGUGCCUUUUGUGGAGAACUUCCUUCUAAGGAAAGGAGUAGUAAACAAGCGCUUCUCCGUCCUGUAGAGAAGAGCACGCCAUGGGAGACGCAGCAGCGCUGAACAGACGGGUCUCUCCACUCAAGAACUUCGUGGCAGGUGGAGUUGGUGGAGCUUGUCUUCUGUUCGCCGGACACCCGCUCGACACAAUAAAGGUUCGCCUUCAGACGCAGCCCAAAGCCUCCUGCAGCCAGUAUGUGUUAUACACCGGAACAUACGACUGCUUCCGCAAGACAGUGUCCAGAGAGGGAGUGCUGGGUCUAUAUAAAGGAAUGGGAGCUCCGAUGGCUACAGUUGCUCCGAUGAUGGCGAUCAGCUUCUUCGGUUUUGGGCUUGGGAAGCAGCUGCUGCAGAGUGAUCCAGCAGCUCCACACACGCACUCUCAGAUCUACCUGGCUGGGAUGUUAGCGGGGGUCUUCACGACUGUGAUUGUAGCUCCAGCAGAGAGAAUCAAGUGUCUUCUUCAGGUGCAGUCCACCACCGGCCAAUUAAAGUAUGCCGGGCCUGUAAACUGCGCAGUGAGGCUGUACAGGGAACAGGGGAUUCGUAGUGUUUAUAAAGGGACUGUCCUCACUCUUAUCAGAGAUGUGCCUUCCAGCGGUCUGUACUUUUUAACCUAUGAGUACCUGAAAAGUGUCCUGACUCCUGAGGGUCAAAGCGUUCACGAACUCAGUACGCCAAGAAUUCUCUUGGCUGGUGGCACUGCUGGUAUUUUGAACUGGGUGAUUGCUCUUCCUCCUGAUGUUCUCAAGUCCAACUUUCAAACAGCAUGGACAUGCAUGCCCAGACCUGCUCUACAGCUGCUGAUGGACACUACAAAGGCUUAGUGGAUGUUUUAAGAACACUGAUACGGGAAGAAGGAGCCAAGGCUCUUUACAAAGGCUUAAGUGCAGUCAUGCUACGGGCCUUUCCUGCUAAUGCGGCUUGUUUUCUAGGUUUUGAAUUAGCUCUAAAGUCCUUGAACUGGCUGGCUCCAAACUGGUGACCACCAUGCUUGUGGUGACUCCGCUGCUGAUCACGUUUGGCACAGGAGGGAGUUUUAUAUGAUCCAAAGAUGGCUUUUUAAGUGACCUCUCCACUCAGAUCCAGCAUCGGUGGCUCUCCACAACCCUUUUAAACCCUCAUUUUGUUACAAAAAGCCUAAUUUCUAUAGAGUGUGUGGCUAAUUUCACCCAAAAAAUGAAUAACCAUCAAGCAACUUUAGCAAUAUUGCUAGCAGCUGGAACUGCUAGCUUAAUAUUCAUUAUUUUGAGUGUAAAGUUUUUUUAUGAUAAGAGCAACGUAUCAUGUCUUCGAGUUAUUUGACAUGCUUACCCUUUUUAUGGAAUCAUACACACAUUGUAACUAAUUGUGCAGUUGGCCACAUCUGUAAUAACAUUUAAAAAUGUAUGUAAUUCAUUUAUAAUUAUUUUGAGUGAAAUAAUCUUCUAUGACAUGAGAAAUAGACUAUAUCUUCUGGUUAUUUGAUAAAUAAUUUCUUUAGAAUAUUUAUUUUAAUUGAAGACAAAUUACUCACCAGGAUAAAUACCAUAACACAAACAUGUGCUCUGACCUCAGUGCCACUAAAAAUCUACAAAAAAAUGAUGUUUGCAGUUUGUGUUCAUAAGUUGACCUUCAUACACUUGUGGAAAAUAAUUGUAAAUAAAUAUGUUGUGUUAUUGUUAUCUUUCUAA